rnacentral:rRNA from 1 species
AUUAAACGCUGGCGGCAUGCCUUACACAUGCAAGUCGAACGGCAGCACGGGGGCAACCCUGGUGGCGAGUGGCGGACGGGUGAGUAAUGCAUCGGAACGUGCCCUGAAGUGGGGGAUAACGCAGCGAAAGCUACGCUAAUACCGCAUAUUCUGUGAGCAGGAAAGCAGGGGAUCGCAAGACCUUGCGCUUUGGGAGCGGCCGAUGUCGGAUUAGCUAGUUGGUGGGGUAAAGGCCUACCAAGGCGACGAUCCGUAGCGGGUCUGAGAGGAUGAUCCGCCACACUGGGACUGAGACACGGCCCAGACUCCUACGGGAGGCAGCAGUGGGGAAUUUUGGACAAUGGGGGGAACCCUGAUCCAGCCAUGCCGCGUGAGGGAAGAAGGUCCUCUGGAUUGUAAACCUCUUUUGGCAGGAAACAAACCUGCGCUAUACGCGCAGCUGAGGGUACCUGCAGAAUAAGCACCGGCUAACUCCGUGCCAGCAGCCG